UCCCUGGUGGUCGAGUGGGUAAGACUCCAGGCUUCCACUGCAGGGGGCACAGGUUCAAUUCCUGGUCAGGGAA
rnacentral:tRNA from 1 species